CAGCCGCCACGGUAAAACGGAGGGGGCUAGCGUUGUUCGGAAUUACUGGGCGUAAAGCGCACGUAGGCGGCUUGGUAAGUUAGAGGUGAAAGCCUGGAGCUCAACUCCAGAAUUGCCUUUAAGACUGCCGAGCUAGCAGGUGAGAGAGGUAAGUGGAAUUCCGAGUGUAGAGGUGAAAUUCGUAGAUAUUCGGAAGAACACCAGUGGCGAAGGCGGCUUACUGGCUCAUACUGGACGCUGAGGUGCGAAAGCGUGGGGAGCAAACAGGAUUAGAUACCCCGGUAGUCCCUGUCUCUUAUAC
rnacentral:rRNA from 1 species